rnacentral:rRNA from 1 species
UACGUAGGGGCAAGCGUUGUCCGGAUUCAUUGGGCGUAAAGAGCGUGUAGGCGGCCGGGUAGGUCGGUUGUGAAAACUGGAGGCUCAACCUUCAGAGGUCGACCGAAACCAUCUGGCUAGAGUCCGGGAGAGGAGAGUGGAAUUCCUGGUGUAGCGGUGAAAUGCGCAGAUAUCAGGAAGAACACCCGUGGCGAAAGCGGCUCUCUGGAACGGUACUGACGCUGAGACGCGAAAGCGUGGGGAGCGAACAGG